CAUAGAUGUAACAAUACCUUUAACGACGCCCCAUUAAUGUAUUUUUACGGAAAAAUUAUUAAAGCAGAAGAAAUCAUCGCCUUCGCGCAGUCAGCCUUGAACAGGGCCUGGAAGAGCCCAGGAUGCGUAUGAGUUAUGAGCCCCAAAUGCCGAAAGCAAAUCAACGCUAAGCUGCCCCAACUGAGAGCUCUUCAGACACCUCUCGUCAAGGAAAUGGCUACAAAAAUUACUUCCCUUCGUCGAAUUCUGGACCGCUUCGUUUUCUAUUUCUGUGGCUGCGUUCCAGUUAGCUUGCAAUUGGUGUGGAUAAGAAAGAAGGAAGGAAUGGAGGAGAGGCGGAAAGGCUCAAAUAAUAUCAAGCAUAUUUCAAGGACACGUAAAUGGAAUUCGCUACGUGCGACCGCUGAAAGCCCUAGAAGGAACCACAAAAAUACAAACACAAUGUGUAGGACGGGAACUGAGGAAGAAUGUCCAUGGCGUGGUGUGGGGAAAAGGGACAGACAAUGUCCCAAUGGUGUGGUUCCUAUAUUUGAUUCACUAAGUAAGGGUAUUCAGAAGAUUAUCAGAACGAAUAGGGGUGGAAAGGAAUAGCUAUAAAGAAUGGAUUUACCGGCCGAAUAUAGAAUAUAGAAAGGUACAAAUAUACUUCGCAACUUAAACUCUGAAACUUUAAAGCAUUUAAAAGAAUUGUCCAUUGGUUGUAGUGAAGAUUGACAAAAACUAUUUCCCCCAUUACUUUCCCAGGAUAUACAUUCGAAUUUACCUUCGUUUCCUGCUUGUUUGCUGUGUUGUGUGCUUGGCUAAAUAAUUUUUGAUUUUGUUUCGUUUUUGUGUAUCUGAAAGUGUCUGGGUGUGAUUUAGGAAAUACUACUUGGAUAUGUGCAGAUAAUGGUUAACAUACAUACAUGUAUGUGUAUACAGCUACAUAAUACAUAUACGAAUAUAUUGUAUGUACAUUGUACAGAUUUGAACAUGCAAUGACAGGAGCCAAAGAUCAGCCAUGAAAAGUUAAUAGUUUACUGAAGCGACAAAAAGUGGGGGAGUGCCACUGUCUCUCAGCGAAAACUACCCUACUUUUUCAUUGGCUUCUAUUACUCAUAAAUUAAGCACAUCAGCCAACUUUAGUUCUGCGUUUAUUUUUGACCUUCUGUGUUCUUUAACGGUGCGUGCUUGGCAAGGAUGGUGUUCAUACUUAGUAUACUUAUCAAUACGUGUAAUCAUUUUAAUCACUUUAAUCAUUGAUUGCCAGCAGAAACAUACACUUUCACUGAAAUCGCCAAAUUCCCCUAAUGCGUUUCUAUGCACAGCUAUGUUUUUCGUCUUAUUGACUGACACAUCGCUCCCGCUCGUUUACAGCUAAUAGUAUCACCGUAUUAAUACGGUAAAGAUAGCUUUCCUUGGAAUGUGAGAGCUAUACAGAGGCAGAGAUACCGAUUUGAUAACUGGUAUAAUUACAUGUUUAUGCAUAGCCCUCAAAAUUAUGCUGAAAGUCGAUCAAGCUUAGUUUACAUUCAAUAAGCUGAAUUUAACUGCGCGUCGAUUCUAAGCAAACAAUUUUUAAAUAUUUUUUAUACAAAUCAAUUUUGAAUUAAAAAAAUGAGAACAGUUUAACUUUAUGCGAAAACUGUAAGAUUUUCAACA